rnacentral:rRNA from 2 species
CGGCCACACUGGGAAUGAGACACGGCCCAGACUCCUACGGGAGGCAGCAGUAGGGAAUCUUCCGCAAUGACGGAAAGUCUGACGGAGCAACGCCGCGUGAGUGAUAAAGGUUUUCGGAUCGUAAAACUCUGUUGAUAGGGAAGAACAAGUAUCGUUCGAAUAGGGCGGUACCUUGACGGUACCUAACCAGAAAGCCACGGCUAACUACGUGCCAGCAGCCGCGGUAAUACGUAGGUGGCAAGCGUUGUCUGGAAUUAUUGGGCGUAAAGCGCGCGCAGGCGGUUUCUUAAGUCUGAUGUGAAAUCUUGCGGCUCAACCGCAAGCGGCCAUCGGAAACUGGGAGACUUGAGUGCAGAAGAGGAGAGUGGAAUUCCACGUGUAGCGGUGAAAUGCGUAGAGAUGUGGAGGAACACCAGUGGCGAAGGCGACUCUCUGGUCUGUAACUGACGCUGAGGCGCGAAAGCGUGGGGAGCGAACAGGAUUAGAUACCCUGGUAGUUCACGCCGUAAACGAUGAGUGCUAAGUGUUAGAGGGUUUCCGCCCUUUAGUGCUGCAGCUAACGCAUUAAGCACUCCGCCUGGGGAGUACGGCCGCAAGGCUGAAACUCAAAGGAAUUGACGGGGGCCCGCACAAGCGGUGGAGCAUGUGGUUUAAUUCGAAGCAACGCGAAGAACCUUACCAGGUCUUGACAUCCUCUUGACCUCCCUAGAGAUAGGGAUUUCCCUUCGGGGACAGGAGUGACAGGUGGUGCAUGGUUGUCGUCAGCUCGUGUCGUGAGAUGUUGGGUUAAGUCCCGCAACGAGCGCAACCCUUGACCUUAGUUGCCAGCAUUCAGUUGGGCACUCUAAGGUGACUGCCGGUGACAAACCGGAGGAAGGUGGGGAUGACGUCAAAUCAUCAUGCCCCUUAUGACCUGGGCUACACACGUGCUACAAUGGAUGGUACAAAGGGCUGCAAGACCGCGAGGUUUAGCCAAUCCCAUAAAACCAUUCUCAGUUCGGAUUGUAGGCUGCAACUCGCCUACAGAAGCCGGA